ACCGGUGCUGAAGGCUCUGAAAUAAAAACCAUAAGAUACAGGGCGUGAGAACUAUUAAAUAAUAGUUCCCAGUGGGCAAUUACUGACUUCAGUGAAAUGCGCCACUAGACCCAAAAGCUGAAAAGGGGGUAAGUACAUGUAUGAAAUGAACCAUAAGCUACUAACAUGAAAGCUUACUAUAACAUGAUAUCUCUACUUAGUAUGAAUUUGCAUAAGUAAUAAAUCUGCUGUAACAUGAAUGUCCAAGAAUACAACUAACAUAAUGUCCACAAGCUAAAUAGUAAAAUGUCAUUAUUUACUAUUCUAGUCAAUGUCCACUCGGUAUACUAAGUCACCAAUGUACCAAUCCUGUAGGACCUACCUGUGGGUAGUCCGGCUUGCGCCGUGCCUAAUGGCCCCGUGGUAGUCAACAUCCCCACUGUAAUAUACCAGAUUUGUAAUAUAAAAGUAGAUGUAAAUAAAAAUAGUGUAAUAUACUAUUUUUAUUGGAUUUAGAGAAGUAAAAUAUAAGUCGAAAAUUACUGGUGCUGAAAUCGGAAUGUAAACAUAUGAUUUAGAAUUUUCUGUAAGGAACGGGACUGAUAUUUUAGCAAAAAAUAUACAGUGUCAGAAAAUUAUGAAAACUGGAGAAUAUCUCAGAAUUAUUUUUAUGAGGUUAGAUUUAAAGUUUCAUGUCAUUCUGACACUUGGAAAGUGAAAAAUAAGCUAUCUGUUAGAAUGUUAGUCGGUAGAGCUUUCGGUGACCAAAAAUGGUCGAAACUGAAAAAUUAAAAUUUUUUUGUUCUUAUUAAGUUAAACCGAGCCUGACUGUCAAAUUUGAGUGAAAACGAACAUUCAGAAGGGCUCCGGCGAAAAGUAUCAGAUUCUGAAUUAGAAACAGAUUUAAUUAAGGCUAUUGUGAGGGGUGUUAUUGUAAUUGUUACAUUACUUAGUGGA
rnacentral:lncRNA from 1 species